AGCGAACGCUGGCGGCAGGCCUAACACAUGCAAGUCGAACGAACUCUUCGGAGUUAGUGGCGGACGGGUGAGUAACACGUGGGAACGUGCCUUUAGGUUCGGAAUAACUCAGGGAAACUUGUGCUAAUACCGAAUGUGCCCUUCGGGGGAAAGAUUUAUCGCCUUUCGAGCGGCCCGCGUCUGAUUAGCUUGUUGUUUAGGUAAAGGCUCACCAAGGCGACGAUCAGUAGCUGGUCUGAGAGGAUGAUCAGCCACAUUGGGACUGAGACACGGCCCAAACUCCUACGGGAGGCAGCAGUGGGGAAUCUUGCGCAAUGGGCGAAAGCCUGACGCAGCCAUGCCGGGUGAAUGAUGAAGGUCUUAGGAUUGUAAAAUUCUUUCACCGGGGACGAUAAUGACGGUACCCGGAGAAGAAGCCCCGGCUAACUUCGUG
rnacentral:rRNA from 1 species